rnacentral:rRNA from 1 species
UGGGGAAUCUUGGACAAUGGGCGCAAGCCUGAUCCAGCCAUGCCGCGUGAGUGAAGAAGGCCUUCGGGUUGUAAAGCUCUUUUGUCAGGGACGAUAAUGACGGUACCUGAAGAAUAAGCCCCGGCAAACUUCGUGCCAGCAGCCGCGGUAAUACGGAGGGGGCUAGCGUUGUUCGGAAUGACUGGGCGUAAAGCGCGCGUAGGCGGAUCGGAAAGUUGGGGGUGAAAUCCCGGGGCUCAACCUCGGAAU